rnacentral:lncRNA from 1 species
GCGGUGUCGGCGAAGUGCGGCAGUCUCUUUCUGGGCCGCGGCAGCCCGGCCUGCGGAUCGUCCCCGAAGUUAUCCCUCUCCAACGCCUCCAACUGCCGGCACAGCCGCCUCUGCCGCGCCGCUCCGUCCAACACGCGCCGCUGCGACGGCUCCGGGACGCGGCCCGACGCCUUCUUCUCCCCCAUCAUCGUCUGCGCGGACGCUUCCG